GCCGGGUGUGGUGGCUCACGCCUGUAAUCCCAGCACUUUGGGAGGCCGAGACGGGUGGAUCACUUGAGGCCAGGAGUUCAAAACCAGCCUGUCCAACAUGGUGAAACCCCGUCUCUA
rnacentral:sRNA from 1 species